rnacentral:rRNA from 1 species
UACGAAGGGGGCUAGCGUUGUUCGGAUUUACUGGGCGUAAAGCGCACGUAGGCGGAUCGUUAAGUCGGGGGUGAAAUCCUGGAGCUCAACUCCAGAACUGCCUUCGAUACUGGCGAUCUUGAGUCCGGAAGAGGUGAGUGGAACUCCUAGUGUAGAGGUGGAAUUCGUAGAUAUUAGGAAGAACACCAGUGGCGAAGGCGGCUCACUGGCCCGGGUACUGACGCUGAGGCGCGAAAGCGUGGGGAGCAAACAGG